AGGUNAACGGUGAAUGGUANNAUUGGAGGAAUNCGAUGCGAAGCAGCCAUUUGCCUUAACAUGACGUUNAGGUGCGAAAGCAUGGGAGCAACAGGAUUAGAUACCCUGGUAGUCCAUNCCGUAACGAUGUUUACUAGCCGUUGGGGCCUUUGAGGCUUUAGUGGCGCAGCUAACGCGAUAAGUAGACCGCCUGGGGAGUACGGUCGCAAGACUAAAACUCAAAUGAAUUGACGGGGGCCCGCACAAGCGGUGGAGCAUGUGGUUUAAUUCGAUGCAACGCGAAGAACCUUACCUGGCCUUGACAUAGUAAGAACUUUCCAGAGAUGGAUUGGUGCCUUCGGGAACUUACAUACAGGUGCUGCAUGGCUGUCGUCAGCUCGUGUCGUGAGAUGUUGGGUUAAGUCCCGCAACGAGCGCAACCCUUUUCCUUAUUUGCCAGCGAGUAAUGUCGGGAACUUUAAGGAUACUGCCAGUGACAAACUGGAGGAAGGCGGGGACGACGUCAAGUCAUCAUGGCCCUUACGGCCAGGGCUACACACGUGCUACAAUGGUCGGUACAAAGGGUUGCUACCUAGCGAUAGGAUGCUAAUCUCAAAAAGCCGAUCGUAGUCCGGAUUGGAGUCUGCAA
rnacentral:rRNA from 1 species